AUAUUUUUUCUGGCGACAUCGGGACAUGAGCCCUUGUCGGUUAUAUGGUUAUUGCGGUGUUAAUAAAUUUUCUAAGACGUGGUCUUAGUUGCAAGGUUUGUAAAGCCUUUGAAAACGAAUUAAAUCUACCAAUGACGAAGUCUUGGUUUGAAAGGAUUGAUAAUCCGUGCAUUUCGUUUUACACAUGGUUCAUGUGGUUUUACAACUCAAGUUGUACAAUACACGUUGUGUAUUUGUUGAAUGCACGAUAAGAACACGCUGUGUUCAGAAUUUUGUCGUGAAUAUAUUUUACCGCAAGUUUUACAGUACACGUUGUGUAUUGGUUGAUAGUACGUUUAUAAAACACGUUGUGUUCAG
rnacentral:sRNA from 1 species